CAAAUUUUAAAUCACCUAGGUUACCUGGGCGAGUUGUAAUUUGAAGAAAGUGYUUUGAUGCUCUGGUUUUGUCUAAAUCCUUUGGGAUAAGGUAUCAUAGAGGGUGAGAAUCCCGUUCAUGAUUUAAACCCUGGGUGUCACCUAAUUCACUUUCUAAGAGUCGAGUUGUUUGGGAUUGCAGCUCAAAAUGGGUGGUAAAUUUCACCUAAGGCUAAAUAURUGCAAGAGACCGAUAGCGAACAAGUACCGUGAGGGAAAGAUGAAAAGAACUUUGAAAAGAGAGUUAAAUAGUACGUGAAAUUGUUGAAAGGGAAACGAUUGAAGUCAGUCAUGCUUGCAGGGAAUCAGCMAUGGUGGUUUAUUCUUCCUUGUGCACUUUCUUGCUUGGCAGGUUAGCAUCAAUUUCGAUUGUCAUUAAAGAAUUGGGGGAAUGUGGCUUCUUCGGGAGUGUUAUAGACCCUGGUAGAUGUGGCGAUCGGGAUUGAGGAUUGCAGCGAAUGCUUUUUGGCUAGUCACCUGGCUUCUGAUAGUCGCCUUGCUUCCGAUAGCUUGCUAAUGGUGGUGAGACUCGAUUGUCUAGAAGUUAG
rnacentral:rRNA from 1 species